rnacentral:misc_RNA from 1 species
UUUCCGUAGGUGAACCUGCGGAAGGAUCAUUAUUGGAUGAAACACUUCUGGUAUUAUGCUGUUGUGCUGGCCCUUUGGGCAAUGUGCACACGGCUCUGGUCACUUGUUUCUUCUGUUCCACCUGUGCACUGCCUGUAGACACGCUGUGUCUAUGAUAUUUGUUAACACACAACAAUGUUAGUUGGCAUGUUAUAUAUAAUAAUAAAAUAUACAACUUUCAACAACGGAUCUCUUGGCUCUC